rnacentral:rRNA from 1 species
CUCAGGACGAACGCUGGCGGCGUGCCUAACACAUGCAAGUCGAACGGGAAUUGAGAGCUUGCUUUUGAUUCUAGUGGCGAACGGGUGAGUAAAGCGUGAGUAACCUGCCUGACGGAGGGGGACAACAGCUGGAAACGGCUGCUAAUACCGCAUAAGCGCACAGUACUGCAUGGUACAGUGUGAAAAGUUCUGGCGGCAUACGAUGGACCCGCGUCUGAUUAGCUAGUUGGUGAGGUAACGGCCCCACCAAGGCGACGAUCAGUAGCCGGACUGAGAGGUUGAACGGCCACAUUGGGACUGAGAUACGGCCCAGACUCCUACGGGAGGCAGCAGUCGGGAAUAUUGCGCAAUGGAGGAAACUCUGACGCAGUGACGCCGCGUAUAGGAAGAAGGUUUUCGGAUUGUAAACUAUUGUCGUUAGGGAAGAUACAAGACAGUACCUAAGGAGGAAGCCCCGGCUAACUAUGUG